rnacentral:lncRNA from 1 species
GGGCGGGCGCCCUGGGCCUGGCCCAGUUUUGCCUCCGCUUCGAUCUCGUGGCUUCUGGAGUCUUCUAGAUGAUGUAAAAUUAUGCGGUGCGUUGAUAUCUCUAUGUAAUCCUGACAUGUGGGCCUUUCUUCCUUAUUUCCUGAUAACCCCCUGCAGAAACAGAUAAACAACAAAACUCGUGGAAUUCUGUCAGAUCAAACCCUAAUUCUAGGUGAUGGUUGCAUAUUGGUCCUUUCUCAUGUUUAUUUGAUAAUUAAAAUUGAUACUUAAGAACCGUCAACAAAUACCCCCAUACUUAGGCUUUUACUCGUCCUCGAGAAAAGGAUGGUUAAGAAAAAAUCUGGGGUAAACAUUUAAAACAUUCUCCUUAUAAUUGCAGGGUGUUAAAAUUCCACUGUGUACCAUAGUCAGGGAUGUGUAUGGUUAAGUGUAAAGAUUCUUUCUUUUCAAUCCUGUCACUUGGAGUUUUUGUUAUAUUUUUGAAAGAAAGUUAGCAUACCUUUUUAUCCUCAUAGGUUCUCUCAGAUCACUCAUUAUCUUUUAUAUAUAUCUCUCACUGAGGCUGUUUUAUUUUGCAAAAAUUCUCAAGCAUACUUACUUUGCAUUUAUUGCCUCAUCAAAACGGGAUCCGAGGAGGGAAAUGUCAUACUCUUAGAUCAAAGACUUUAGAAAUUAAAACUUUGUCAACUCUUGCUGGCAUAUUGCUUAUUAGAGGGACCAUGGGCUAUCAUUUUUUUCUCUUUUUUUUAAGUGGAUACCGAGGUACCCCUAAUUCUACUGCCGGACACUUGUCCAUUUUUUUCUGCGAGGUUGUCGAGCACUUGCUCCUUUUUAUUUCCUCGAAAUAUCUUCUAUUUUUGCAUAGCCCAUGCCUCUAAUGCAAUAAUACUUCGGAAGAGUGAAUCUUACUGAAAUAGUGUCUUGAUCUUGGGAGAAUGAUAAAUCUCUCAACAAGGGUCUAACUCAUUUUGAACAAACUCAAUACAGAGCAGAUAGCUUUUAUAAUCAUAAUUAAUAUUUCAAUUUUAUCAGGCAUAUAAAACACUGAGGAUGGUAGCUAGAAAUUUGAAUAUUUUGAAAUAAGUUCUCCAAGCAACAAUGAUAUCAAGAAUAAGAAACUCAUACUCUACCAUCACAUAUUCCAUAUUGAUUUAAGUAACACAGGGUUUUAAAAUGAUUUUAUACUAAUUGCAAGUUUUCAAGAAAUAUCACAGAUUGAGAUUAAUCAUGAUUAGAAAUAUUUAAUCUUUUUAUUUUAUCAUGUCGGAAACAGUAAUCUGCAUAAUCCAGAAUAAAUGUAUGUAUAAAGUAAAGUGUGCAGAGUGUGUACCUGAGUGGUGGAGUGGUGUAGUCGGAGUGUGGUUGGCAUGUCGAGGGAUCUCCCCCAUACUUGUUUUCUGCUUUCUUGCACAAAAGUAAAGUAGAGACACACAAGACAUAAUAAUAAUAGUAAUACUCUUUAUUGAUCUUGAGGCAUUUAUUACAAAAAGACUGAUAGCAAACUGAUAACAAACUGAUAAUAACAAACUGAUAAUAGCAAACUUAAACCGAAUUUAAAGAUAGAUAACUAAGAUGCAUUGCCUCAAGGUCUAAUCUAGAUAACUUAGCGGCGCUCUAAUUCUUUAAUCUUCUUGUUGGCACUGGCAAGAUCCUGCCUAAGGCCUAGGAUAAUGGUGUUGUGGUUAGAGAGCUGCCUAGUGAGGGAAUUAAUCGAGGACUGGAGGUCUAUGAUAAUUCUAUCUAGCCUGCGAACUUCCUCAUCAAUAUCCAUUAUAGUCUUGCGACGCUUGGGAGGUGUCUCAAAAGCAUUGAGAGAGUGCUUCGGGGCUGCCUUUGGAGGGAUGAAACGGACUUUGGAUGCUCUAAUCCCUUCAAAGUAAAGCCUUUCCUCCUCCGUAGUGUAGCGAAUACUGCUGAUCUCGCCGCUUGGCACCUUGAUAGUGGUCUUCGUCUUGGAUGAUGGUCCUUUGAGAAGUAGGGUUUGUGGUGGUGCGGUGAGAACUGGUUGAGCAUGGUAAGAUUGGGCGGAGCUGCGUUGACGUAAUGGCAUGGCUUCUAGCUGACGUUCUGUGUUGGCCGGGACGAGAGCACGGGCAUCGGGGUCUUCCACUGGCUCCAUGUUGAGGUUGAAGGGGACGACUUCCCAAUCGUCGUGGUACUUGUCGGCCAUUGGAGUAGCAAGGAACUAAUAAAAUUUUAAUUGAAGGAGAGCUAAUCAAGCUCUAAUUGAAGGAGAGAAAGCUUGGUGGCUUGUUGUUUGAAAACUGAGGUCAGGGGUCUGUUUAUAUAGGGGUCAAAAGGAUGCCUCUAUGGGUUGUUCGGGUUGCUCCCGUCGACUUGCGUGGGAAACUUUCUAUCCGAGGGAUUAUUCGAAUUACCAUAAGUGCAUUUUCCAUAACAGAGAAAGUCGGGACCGAGGGGGAACAGGGGCAGGGCGCCCGCCCACUUGACCUGGGCGCCCGCCCUCUCUCUGGCCCCUCUGUGGGCCCACUUUUCCGAGCGCGUUUCUAGAUGCGAAAUUAUUUAGAAAAAUAUAUAUAUGCCCCAAAACCAUCAGACCAAAAGUGUCGGGCUCUAAUUUUCCAUGGGAAGGUAAAAAUGGACUUCGUCUAUUUCUUCAAAUUCCUCAUCGGGCUCUAAAAAUAAUUUAAGACGUUGACCAUUUACCUUGAAUAACGUACCUUCGUUAUUUUGAAGUGUGAUAGCUCCGUGGGAUGAUGAAUUGAUUACCUUGAAUGGUCCUUCCCAUUUGCUCUGGAGUUUUCCAUGCCCGAAAAGCUUUACCCUGGAAUUAAAAAGUAAUACCUUAUCUCCGGGUGUGAACUCCUUCUUUUUGAUUCUCUUGUCAUGCCACCUCUUGACUCUUUCUUUGUAGAUCUUUGAAUUGUGAUAUGCCUUCUCUCGCCAUUCUUCCAAUUCUGAUAGUUGCAUUCUUCUAUAAUCUCCAGCAACAUCUAGGUCCAUAUUCCAUCUCUUUAUGGCCCAGUGUGCUUUGAAUUCUAGUUCAACAGGUAGAUGACAAGUCUUCCCGUACACCAAUUGGUACGGAGACAUUCCAAUUGGGGUCUUGUAUGCUGUCCGGUAUGCCCAGAGUGCAUCGGGUAACUUGUCUUUCCACGUCGUUCCCAUUUCAUUUACUGUCUUCUGAAGAAUAUUCUUGAUUUGUUUGUUGUAAGUCUCUGCUUGGCCACUUGUCUGAGGAUGAUAGGGGGUAGCGACAUUGUGACGGAUUCCAUGUCUUGAUAGAUAUUGCUUGAAACGUUUGUCGAUGAAGUGUGCUCCUCCAUCACUUAUCACUACUCUGGGAACUCCAAAUCUUGGAAAUAUAAUUUCUUCAAACAUCCUCUUUGAACUGACGUUGUCGGCAUGCUUGCAAGGUAAUGCUUCUACCCACUUGGAGACAUAGUCAACCGCCACCAAGAUGUACUCACAUUUCUUUGAUGGAGGAAAUGGACCCAUAUUGUCUAUUCCCCAGACAUCAAAUAGCUCAAUCUGAAGGUUGUUGGUGAGUGGCAUUGCAUCCCUUGUAUUUAUGUUUCCGUGCCUUUGACAUGGCCCACAUCUUCUGAUAUAUUGCUUCGUGUCUUUAUACAUUGUAGGCCAAUAGAAUCCACACUGCCAGAUCUUUGAAUGUGUACGGAAUGCUCCAUAGUGACCUCCAUAUGGUGAUGAAUGACAUCUGUCGAUGAUCUUCCAUCCUUCCUCAGUGGUCACACAUCUCCUGAGUAAGCCAUCAGAGCAUACUCGGAAGAGGUAUGGCUCAUCCCAUAUAUGUGAACGACUUUCUUGAGUAAGCUUCUUCUUGUUUGCUCCUGGUGGUACAUACCCUGAAACCAUAAAAUUAACAAUAUCUGCAUACCAAGGGUCAGACCUGUUAAUCCCGUAGAGCAUGUCGUCCCGGAGUGAAUCAUUGAUGGGGGUUUCCUGUGGACUCUUAAAAUACAUUCUAGACAAGUGAUCUGCAACAGAAUUUUCUACUCCUUUUUUAUCUUUUAUUUCUAAGUCAAAUUCUUGGAGUAAUAAGAUCCAUCUAAUCAGGCGAGGUUUAGCAUCUUUUUUAGUGAGCAAAUAUUUUAAUGCAGCAUGAUCAGUGUAAACAAUUAUUUUAGCUCCAACUAAGUAAGAUCUAAAUUUAUCUAUGGCAAAGACAACAGCCAGAAGCUCUUUUUCAGUGGUUGCAUAAUUAAGCUGAGCUCCUGUCAAAGUUUUACUGGCAUAAGCAAUUGCAUGAUGCUUCUUAUCUUUAGUUUGUCCUAAUACUGCCCCCACAGCAUAAUCACUAGCAUCACACAUAAUUUCAAAAGGCAACGACCAAUCAGGGGGUUGAAUGAUUGGUGCAGAGAUGAGUGCUUUCUUUAAUAAAUUGAAAGAUGUUAGACAUGCAUCAUCAAAUUCGAAAGGAGCAUCCUUGGCUAGCAAAAGAGUAAGUGGUCUAGCAAUAAAUUAAAAAUCUUUUAUGAAUCUACGAUAAAAACCAGCAUGGCCAAGAAAGCUUCGAAUUCCUUUUAUGUUCACAGGUGGAGGUAGUUGUUCAAUUACUAUAAUUUUAGCUUUGUCUACCUCAAUACCUCUUUCAGACACUAAGUGUCCUAGCACUAUUCCUUCUCUAACCAUAGAAUGACAUUUUUCCCAAUUAAGGAUUAAGUGCUUUUCUUCACAUCUUUGCAAAACCUUGUCUAAGUUUUCAAGACAACUAUCAAAAGUUUUUCCAUAAACAGAGAAAUCAUCCAUGAAAACUUCCAUAAUAUCUUCAAUCAUAUCAGAAAAUAUAGACAUCAUGCAUCUUUGAAAAGAAGCUGGUGCAUUACAUAACCCAAAAGACAUUCUACGGUAAGCAUAAGUUCCAUAUGGGCAUGUAAAAGUGGUUUUGCUUUGAUCAUCGGGAUGGAUCGGGAUUUGAUGAUACCCUGAGUAUCCAUCUAAAAAACAAAAGAAUGAAUGGUUUGCUAACCGCUCUAGCAUCUCAUCUAUGAAAGGUAAAGGAAAGUGAUCCUUUCUCGUGGCUUUGUUUAAUUUUCUAUAGUCUAUGCACAUCCGCCAUCCUGUGACGGUGCGUUGUAGAAUUAGCUCAUUCUUUUCAUUCAUAAUAACUGUCAUGCCUCCCUUUUUGGGCACAACUUGUACUGGGCUUACCCACUCACUGUGCGGCACAGGAUAUAUAAUCCCUGCAUGCAGCAACUUAAUAACUUCCUUUUUAACUACCUCUCUCAUAGUGUUGUUAAGUCUACGUUGGGGUUCUUGAAAGGGUGUAACAGAAGGAUCUAUUGGAAUACGAUGGGUACAAAUCAUAGGACUGAUUCCUGUAAGAUCUUGAUGUGAGUAGCCGAAAACUGAGUGAUGUUUCUCAAGAAUGGUCAUUAAUCGUAGAGUUUGAUCCUGAGUGAGUUUAUCGCUAAUGAUCACAGGGAACUCUGGAUUAUUGUUUAGGAAAGCAUAGGUAAGACCGGGUGGUAAGGUUUUAAGUUCUAUGGAGGGUCUAGGUGUUUCUGCAAACUCAUCUAAGGGUUCAGGCUCGGAAGGUUCGUCUUCUUCUUCUGUGAAGAAAGGAGUUUCGUCUUCUAAGUCUGGUUCAUCUAAAAGCUCUAGAGAUGCAGCCUUUACUUCCUCCAUAGGAUCAGGCAAAAGAUAUGACUCGGCCUUAUUAUUUAAGGAGUGUGAAAUUAUCAUUGGGAAUUGAAAAGUUUUUCCAAAAGAAAUGUGUAGCUUUCCAGUAUGACCUUCAUAAAGGAGUCUUCCAAAAGGUUGUCCUAUUAACAGGUCGAAGUCCCAUGUAUCAAAGAUAUAGAAGUUCAAGUGAACCAUGGAGCCUUCUACUGUAAGAGGUAGGACAUUAAUAAUUCCAAGACUGGGGACUAAUCAUCCUGAAGAUUCCUUUAUGACCUUUGUUGUGGGGGUUAAGAUAAGAUUUUUAAAUAGUUUAAGUGCAAAAGAUUCAGACAUGAUGUUGAUCCCCACAACAGGAUUAUAGAGAGCAUUAAAUCGAUCAGAAUUAUAAGCACAAUGUAUAGUUAUAGAGGGUGUGUCCAAACGGAUCACAUCAGAGGAAAGCUCUGAUUCUAUCUAGGAUUUGGCAGAGUGUCUACUUCGGCUUCGUAGGUUUCAUCAUGAAGGGUAUUAUCCAUCUCAGCUUCUAGGAUUCUAUCUAGGAUCACUCUAGCUUCAUUAGCAGGGAUGCGAAAGAAAGAACCUCUAGACAUUGUGUGAAGCAUUUGUUUGUGAUUUUUCUGAAGACCUCGAAAAAAGUGGAAUAAAAGAAUAGGGUCUUCAAGAUUAAGGUUUGGACCAGAUUCUAAAAGAUCAGAAAAACGUGUCUAGGAUUUUCCCAAAGUUUCAUUAUCUUUUUGUUUAAAAGAUAGGACUUCGAGUCUAAGGUCGGCUAUACGGUCAAGGGAAUAGAAAUCUAGACAAAAGUUGGCUCGUAAAACUCCUCAUUCACCUUGUUGUUGACUUACCUUCUGACUGUACCAUUGUCUAGCUUCUCCCCUUAAAGAAAAAGGAAAAAGCUUCCAACGUAAAGUUUUAUCAGAAAUGCCUUCAAUGCGAAGACAAUCACAUGUUUGCUCAAAAGCCUGGCCCAGUUUUGCCUCCGCUUCGAUCUCGUGGCUUCUGGAGUCUUCUAGAUGAUGUAAAAUUACGCGGUGCGUUGAUAUCUCUAUGUAAUCCUGACAUGUGGGCCUUUCUUCCUUAUUUCCUGAUAACCCCCUGCAGAAACAGAUAAACAACAAAACUCGUGGAAUUCUGUCAGAUCAAACCCUAAUUCUAGGUGAUGGUUGCAUAUUGGUC